UUUAUGAUGUAAACAAACAAAAACAGACAAACACAAAGACUGAAUAAAGUAUAUGACAAGAGGAAAAAAUAUAUAUAUAUGCAAAUAAAGGAAGAACCUCGUCAAAAAGAACCCCAAGCAUAAGGUUUAUAUACUAUCAGGACAAACACAAAAACAGAGAAACAAUGGUGGAAGAAAAAUACGGGAGAGUGGUUAUAAGUUCGCAUUGUGGGCGAGGACGGUUGUUUUGAUUCCUCCUGGAUGUAUCUUGAUAUCUUUGUUAAAUGACUCAACUUUCCUAAGAAAAAGGCGGAUUAAAAAUUGGUUUACCUAUAGGGGUAGUAUUGAUUGGGGAAAGGGGAUUAUUUUGAAUUUUAACUCUAUAUGAAUAUUAGAAAAUAAAAAUAAAAAGGAAUAAACUAGACUAAACUAAACUAAAAUUUGUUUUAAAAAAUUCAAAAAAUAGAAAUCCAAAAGAAAAACACAGGUGUAUGUAUCAAAAAGUUCAGGUUAGAAGGUUAUUAUGAAAUUUGAUGUACUGGACAUCUCACUGUGAUGGUAAAUAGGUUAAAAAAUUAUCUAUAUAUAAAAAAAAAAGAACCAGAAUAGUGGGAAGGCAUUAAAAAUAAAAGUUGUCCUAUGAAGUAGUAGUGGUUGUUCUCUUGUAGUCUUUUAUUUUUUUUCUCCUUUCUUGGUUGGUUUUCUGGGGGAGGGGCCUGCCAUGUGGGUUUUCAAUGACGUUCCCUGAGUUAAGUUCCCCUGCCCCCCUCAAGAGGGUGGGCUCUGAAGAAACUGUUUUUUUUCAGGGUUUUGUUCUCUGGCGGUUUUUAUGUUUAUUCACUAUUUUUUUUCCUCUCACCUUGACCGCUUUUGAUGGUUUUUGUAGUUUUAGAGGAAAACAAACUGUAUCCUGGCCUCCCUCUCAGAGAGAAGCCUCAGUCUGGCUGCAGAGCCCAAACAAGUUCCCCUUUGGCCACUGGCAGAUUAGGUUCCAAGUCGCGGUCCCUGGGGACGCAGGAUCUUUUGCUUGUACCCAAAACCAUGGAAGCUGUCUGGGCAGCUCCAGACCGCCAGAGAGGUUACAAGCAGCAACUGCACACUGAGAUUUUCCUGCUGGCCCGGGCUGGGAGUGCCUGGUCUUUCUGGGUCUAAGAGCGCCCAGCUUGCGCGCUUCGAUUUCAGGGGAGGUUGUGGGUCACGCAUGCUUUUCAGUCUCUGAGAAUGGGGCGCAGGUCCAAAAAAACCAGGCUGGGCCUUCAUGCACCUCUUUCAGGGGAGAUUUUGGGGUGCUCGCCUUAGGCUCUGAAACAAUGGCUCGGGUCAAAGAGCAAUGGCAGGGCCUUUGUGUACCUCUUUCAGGGGAGAAUGAGGGGCAUGCGCAAUUCAGGCUGUAUAGCAGGGCUUGCGCAUUCUGUCCUCUGGUGAGGCACCCAGCCCCUCCCAGGAGCUGGACCCCAGGCAUUCAGGGGCGCUCUGGCAGCUUAGGGACCAAGACCUGGUUUCUCCACCGCACUCUCUGGCUCAGAGGCAGGGGAGGCUGUCCUGGGACCAAGGACUUAAGCCCCUGUCCCUAGCCGCCGGAUUCCCACAAUCUUUUGCUCUUUUGAAGUGCUUUCAACCAGUCUCCAAGUUAAUGCUGGUCCCUAGACACAGGGCACUCUCGCUUGUAUUAGGGGUAUUACUUUCCAACCGGUCGCCUCUGGUGGCUCCCUCCCCCUUUUGUUUAUCUUCUGAUAUCAUUUUGCCAUUCCUGAUGAAGUCCCAAAACCUAGGUCAGGUUCAAUGGGGUGAGGUUCAGAGCCCACGGCUAAGAAAGAAUUCUUUAGACAUCUUUGGUGCAAAACGGUGGUUUAUUAGAGCACGGGGACAAGACCCGUGGGCAGACGGAGAUGCUACUGCCCAGGGCCUGUGAGGAGUGGCUGGUUAUAUACACAGGAGUUGGGUAGGUGAGGACAAAGGGGUGUUCAGAAGGGCUAUUGGGGUAAAGAAGACUGCCAGGAUAUUGAAGGCCUGGUUACUAUCAAGCCAAGGCCACUUUCCCUCUAAUGAGGCACUAACAUAAAGACAAUUGGGAGUCUGCUGGUGGAAUGUUACAUUCCUGCUAUCAAACGUCCUUGUUAGUGAGAUUUAGGUUUACAAGAAAUUUAACUUUAUUUACUUUUCCUUCUACCUCAGUCUCCUUCAGUUUUUAUGGAGGGGAGGGUGACAUUAGAGCUUGAGGAAUUGAGUUAUGUGCCUUUGGAAAUUGAGCUAUUGAUAAGGUAACUUCUUUGUUGUAAAUCUCAAGGACAUUUGCCAUCCAAGGGAGACUCCUGCUUACAGGACUGUGAUCUCUGCAAGAUAACCAUUUGUUCUUCUUUUAGGGCAGUCAGGGGUGCCUGAAGAAUGUCACACAUAUUACCAAGGGGAGUGGGUGGAGAGGGGGUGCAAGGAGCCAGCCCCUGCUCUGUCCUCAGCCAGCCUCCUGCUCCCUCAUCAAUUCCCACUCUGCUUUACCUGUCCACUGGCAUCUUCUGCCCCUGUAGACAUCCAGACGUGUAUAAUUCUGAUCUCAGGCUGAUUUCAUGGGUGAUCGGAGUUCUUUGGUUGGUAAUCAGCUCACUUUAGGGUACAGGUUUAAAAGGCGCCUCCUCCUACUUCCCUGCCAUCUUGUCCCCCUAAGAGCCUCUUUUUAUUCACAUUUGCUUCAAUAGGCACUGCCAAGAUGCUUCACUUCCUCUCACUUACCAUGUCCACCAAUUAUGCUGGCUUCAAUACAUAGCUAUAGCAACACAAUGAAUACAUGCCAUGCAUUUGUACACAUACAUUUUCUAGAGCCAUGAGACACAGGCUAAGCCUCUCAGGUGCCACUUGAAAGAGAUCACUGGUUUGGUUUCACAAGACUUUCAAUGUUAUGGGUCUGGACACUGGUUCCAGUUCCCCAGAGAAGGUGAGGAUGAUAAAAUGCAAUAGCAUAUUUAGAGUGAGGUCCCCACACUUUGGAGAUCAUAAAGGAAUCAAAAUGGGAAGUGGUAGGCUAAGCAUGAGGUGGUAUCUGGGAAGCCAUGUGACUUCAGAGCACUCAGAUGCUGCAAUGUAGACUGACACCCAGCACGAUGGAGGCCCAGCUGAGCUGGCCCAGGUAGGUAGGGAUCCUGUAGUAGGGUUGGCUGAGACCCCACUGUCCCUCAGAGCACCGCUGUCCAUCAUCCUGUGCUUUAGAACUGCUGAGGAAUGGGACCAGGUGCCCUAUCUGUAGGAAGUAGUGUCCUUUUUCAACCUGGAUUCACCAGCUGAGGAUAGAUGUUGAGGCAAGAAAAGGCUGGCGUUAUUUCCCGGCCACUGCCCAUGUGGAAGCAGUAUCAUGCGCUUCUCUACAAACCAUGCAUGUUUUGCUCAGUGCCAGGCCAAACUAUCCUUGGCUGAUGAUGUCUCUUAACCACAGGAAAGGCUUUCUGAUUUUAACACUUCUCACAGGGCAAUGUCUAUGGUGCCUCUGGGACCUCUAGCAAGUGUGGAGGAAUGGACUCUCAUCUUUGCAGCAGAUUGGGAGCUGCAAAUGGGAGAAAGCCCAUUCUUCCUGCUGCUUCAAGCAGCUCUGCUGACUCAUCUUUUCAUGUGACUCUUGAUAGCUUGGUCACAAGCCUAGGGUGCACAGCAGAGCCCUUACUGACUUCACUGGGAGAAAAAACUACAAGGUGAGAGUCCAUUAUCUGGCCUGCUAGGGGCUCCCUAAGCUGCAGUGAGCACUGGGCUGUGGCAGAGCCAAGGGCGCAGGGAGAGCCUGUCAGGAGGAUGAGCUGAGGGGAGGUGCUGCUGUCCUGAGGAGCCACUGGUGCCACCAGGCUAGAGGCAAAUGUUCCCCACCAGCAGGGCUGCUGAUGUCCCUGCUCAGAGCUGUUGCACAUGAGGCAGCUAGAUCCCACCACUCUCUCUGCUCAGGGACCGGUGCACUCCCAAGUUCACUUUGGAGCGAAAUGAUGACUUCUGUACCUUCCCAGAAACAGAAAUCUUAAUAUGAAACAUGCACAUGUAGAAACAGCUUGUUGUAGGAAGGAGGGAACAUCAUGCAGGAAAGUCCCCUGUUCAGGCAUGUCCCAUUUACUUAGUGAGGAGAGGGAGGGGCUUGGAUAUGUCCUAAGUCUAGUACCACCUCUUACAGAUGAGGGACAGGAGCUUGCAGAGACUGGGGUCCAGAUAGAGUCAUACGGCUGGUUAAUGGCAAGCCCAGGAUUAGAACUGAGGUCUCCAGCCCUCUCCCGUGGCCUAGGAGAAGGUGAAGGUACCCAUGGACAUUGCCAGAACUGAGAGAUCACAUUUAUUUUAUUGAGGAAGUACUCAUGUUUCCUAUGUGAGUAAGGCACAAAUAUUGGCCUGGGAGAACUCAUGAAACGCUUUUCUAACCUGGAAGUUCAGGAUCUCCCAACUCAGCUGUGACUAGCCUGAUCAGGGCUGGGUGGCUAGCUGGUAUGCCUACUUGCAAGCACCAAGUCUUAACACAAUAAAGAGUGUACCCAUUUCCCCUGCAGGCAAAUUUGGAGGAUAGUGGACUUCCUAGUCCACAAGAGGCAGGAUGACUGGCCAGUGACUCCUCCAGUAAGAGAGACCCAAAGCCCUGGAUCCUAAACAGGCAACAGCUUCAAAUGAGGACUGACUCACCAGUUUGCAACUGCUGCUUCAGAAUGAUUUAUGGGGGCUGGGCUUCCACUAUCCUCUAGUCUCAACCAACAUUUGGAGACAGGCACUAACUCCCCAGGCCUAGAGGGCCCUGACACCUAUGGUCUGCUGAAGGUAUGUGUGCUGGACAUGUGCUGCUGUGCAGAUUGGUGCUGUCAGGGAUCCAGAAAGACAAGGGUCUGAAGAGCCCAGGUCACAGGAUUCAGCUCUUUGCAGGACCCAGUGUGUGCCUAAUUGCAAGCUCUACUCUGCACAAAUGUGCAUAAUCCCCCUGAAGGCAGAGAUGGAGGAAAUGGUUCUGCCUUCGCAGGAUCAGCCCAGCUGACUGCCUAGAGUAUCCUUCACAAGAAAGUUGAUUACUGGUGAGCCCAGGACACCAUCAGGCAGCCAGUCCCAAUUAGGACUGAUGGUCCUCAGUUGAAAAUUGCCACCUCAGGAAGAUUUUGGGGGAGUAGGCUCUGUCUACUCUGGAUGCUAUGCAGUUUUGGGGUCCAGACUGAGCUCAACAGGCCUGGGGGGCCCCAAGAGCCAAAGGCCAACUAUCAGAGUACAGACCACAAAACCAUGGGUGACACAGUUCAGAAGAGUCUGGAAUCUGAACCAGGCCAUCUGUAGGGAGAGGCUGGGUUCCAGUAGUGGGAUAUUGGGUGUUCCUGGCCACUGCCUCAUUCCAAGAGCUAAUCUACACAAAUGUGGUUAUUUUUGUUCCUGAAGACACACCUGGAGGGCUCUGGGUUGCCUUGUCAGAGCAGGGCAGUGCAGGAUGGUUUGAGAUAUUCUCUAGUAGGAGAUAGCCACGAGUCUUGAUUAUAGAAUGCCCAGAACUUCAUCAGGGAGCCAGUCCAAGUGGGGAGUAACUGUGCUGGCUGAAAGCUGCCACCCCAGAAAGAUUUUCUGGGUAUCAGCCUUGUCCACACUGGUGACCCUGCAGGUUUGGGAAUCCAGCCUGAGCCCAGCUGGCAUGGAGGUCCUAGCAGCCCAAUGUUGCUGGCUGACACAGUACAGACCCUCUUAGAACACACUGCUUGUCCCUCCUGCUUUAGUAUUUAAAGGGCUGACUAAACUCCCAUUUCCUCUCCUAUUGUGUUAUUAGUCACCAUUCAGUGCACCAUUAGUUUUUGAUGUAGUGUUCCAAGAUUCAUUGUUUGCAUGCUAUACCCAGUGCUCCAUGCAAUCCUUGCCAUCCUUAAUACCCAUCACCAGGAUAACCCAUUGCCCCAUCCCUCACCACCCUCCCCUCUAAAAUCCUGAGUGUGUUUCCUGAAAUCCAUAGUCUCCAAUGGUUCAUCUUGCACUCCAAUUUCUCCCCCUUCAUUUUUCCCUUCUCCUGAUGUCCUCCAUGCUAUUCCUUGUAUGUUUCACAAAUAAGUGAAACCAUAUGAUAAUUGAUUUUGUCUGUUUGACUUAUUUCACGUAGCAUAAUCCUCUCAUAUCUUUACCAGAUGGACCUAAAUGGUGAUCAUCUGCAUGUCUCCGUACUUAUUCUCUGUAUUAUAUUAUGGGUACAGCUUGGAUUUAGGGACUCUCUGGGUUUUCCUUCUCACCUCCUGCUUUUCCUUCCUCCUUGCCUGCUAAGUUGGUUCUGUCCACUCCUCAUCUACUCUUCCAUCAUCCCCUCCACACACAUCAGCUCCGUGCCUGUUGUGUGUAGUCAGCAUGACAGGCACUGAGCAUACUGACCUCUAGGAAUACCUGUUUACCAUUUUUUCUAACAGCCAAGUUGGGUAUCUAGGCUUUCUACCAGUAACUAAAACUAAUUGAAUUUAAGCUAGAAAGUUACUAACAUUUUCAUUUAGGUCGAAUUAAUUAAUUUAAUUAAAAUGUGACAAUCAGUUGUCAAGCUAGAAUGAUCUUUUUAUAGAACUUGUGUUGGUAGAAUACCAAUUCCUAUUUUUGUCCAGCUGAUUUCAAAAUAGAAAUGAUAAUACAGUAACCCUGAGCUUCUAAAUAGACAUUUCACUGAAAAAGAUACAGGAAAUAGAAAAUUUUACUACUCUGUUCAUUCCUGUUUUUGCAUUAUAAAUAAUAACCUGAUGCUAAUAAAAUUUAUUAUUAAGGAACCAUUAGGGAAGAAACAAAUAAGUAUGGCUUAUGACUUGACAGCUGUAGGAAAUAAUUUUAGUAGCUGAAAGUGUCCUAGGUCUUUUUUAUAUUAAAAAAAUAAGUAUGAGGGCACCUGGGUGGUUCAGUGGGUUAAAACCUCUGCCUUCAACUCAGGUCAUGGUCCCAGGAUCCUGGGAUCGAGCCCUGCGUCAGGCUCUCUGCUUAGUGGGGAGUCUGCUUCUUCCUCUCUCUCUCUCUCUCUCUGCCUGCCUCUCUGCCUACUUGUGAUCUCUGUCUGUCAAAUAAAUAAAUAAGAUCUUUAAAAUAUAUAUGUAUAAGUAUGCUUAAAAUAUGACUUCUAACCUUUUGAAAUGUGUGAGAGGUGAAAAGAAAUGGGGUCACUUAUGUUGAGAGGUUUUAAAAUGGAGCCCAAGACCAUUAAGGAGGUGGGUCUUACACUUGUCGUCACUGAGUGGAAAAAUGAACUUUUGAACAAGGCCAAACCAGGAAUAUUCCAGGGUCUCUGUAGGAACUUCUGCAACUUGCAGCAGUAAUGGACUUUUGCUCAAUGAUGGCUCUAGCCAUCAGAGAACCAGUUCUGUUUAGCUGAGAUUAGUUUUCUACCACCAACACCAAUCAUAACUAUUUUUAACAAUGUAUAUAAGCAUUCCUUGUUGUUGUAAAAACCCUCAAUUUUUUUGUUCCCUAGUGGGACACAAUUUGGGUUACUACCUGAAUCUAUAUUCCUGAAUUGCAAUUCUUUUUUAAAAAUUUAUUAUUUAUUUUCAGCAUAACAAUAUUCAUUAUUUUUGCACCACACCCAGUGCUCCACGCAAUACGUGCCCUCUAUAAUACCCACCACCUGGUACCCCGACCUCCCACACAUCCCCCGCUCUUUCAAAACCCUCAGAUUGUUUUUCAGAGUCCAUAGUCUCUCAUGGUUCACCUCCACUUCCAAUUUCCCCCAACUCCCUUCUCCUAUCUCCCCAUGUCCUCCAUGCUAUUUGUGAUGCUCCACAAAUAAGUGAAACCAUAUGAUAAUUGACUCUCUCUGCUUGAGUUAUUUCACUCAGCAUAAUCUCUUCCAGUCCCAUCCAUGUUGCUACAAAAGUUGGGUAUUCGUCCUUUCUGAUGGAGGCAUAAUACUCCAUAGUGUAUAUGGACCACAUCUUCCUUAUCCAUUUGUCCGUUGAAGGGCAUCUUGGUUCUUUCCACAGUUUGGCGAGCGUGACCAUUGCUGCUAUAAACGUUGGGGUACAGAUGGCCCUUCUUUAUUGAAAUUCUAAGACCCCAAAUAAGUGCUUUUGUUUUAUUUCAAUUUUGCUUCUUUUUUCAAGUGACAAGGGGUAGUUAGUAAAGCAAGGUAUUAUUACAUCCAAGCUUUAACUGCAAAUAGAGUUAUUGAGUGCUCUAAGAGGAUGCUAACCAUCCUGGAGAAUUGUUACCUUUGAUACCUGCUCACUGUGGAUGAGAGACAAAGGAAAUGUAUGUCUUCCUCCUUUCCAAGCAUGUCCUUGGAGGUGUUGAAUGGAUAGGAAGGGAGCUGCCACUCUACUGUGAUCUGGUGUCCACACACCCUGGGCCCACUGCAAUAUUUGUUAUCUGUGAUGCCAGACCUGCAAGGGGCUGAAAAUAGUCCUUAUAUUUUUAAGGGGACAGAAUACUUUGUUGAGAUGAGUAAGCCUUAAUGGUGUUUUCAAAUUAUGCCUCAAAAUGCUUACACACUACUCUGUUGGGUCUUUGAGCAGAAGGGUUCUUUGUUGUAGUAUGCAGUGAGGGAGUGGACAUGUAUGGAAAAUAAUUUUGUGGCUUUACACAGAAUUAUAUACAGAGAGUCAAAAUAAUGAUGUUUAUCAGUAAGUCUAUAGCAAGGUUAUGGCAAUAAUGCAGGCUUACAGUCCUUUGACUUGCCUUUCUUUUAAGGUACCCCCCUGAUCUCUUCUUAGUACCCUGGUUUCCCAGGUACAAAAGUGAAUCCAGUCUCACUAGGAAGCUGCUCCCUCCACAUCUCAUCCAUCGGUGACUCUACAGAAAUGUCAGUUGCAGCAACUACCUUUUCUCCUAGUAGUGAUACUCUGCAUCUUUAGAGCUUUUCUUUAUCAUUAGAGCUGAAGAAAAUCCCCAUGCUGCAGGAUCCAUCCAUACAGUGGUGUGAAGGUGCUUUGGGUGUUCAUAAUAGUUGCUGCUGAGAACAGUGAUUUUUGUUUGUUUGUUUUGGUUUGGUGUUUUGAGAGAGAGGGAACAUGCAGGUAGUGAGAGAUAGAGGGAGAGAGAGAAUCCUAAGCUGGCUCCACACUCACCAUGGAGCCACCACAGGCCUCCAUCUCACAACCUGGAACAUCAUGACUUGGGUUGAAAUCAAGAGUCAGAUGCUUAAUCAACUGAGCAACCCAGGUGCCAUAAGAUCUUGAUAGUUCUGAUCAAUCAUUAUUUGUUGCUGAAGGGGAUUUGGAUUUGUUGCUGAAGGGGAUGGACUGCCAAUACCUGAUGUGAAAUUGGAAACUUGUGUUUAUGAACACUAAAACGGUGGAUGUUUGUGCAGUGGAUGGUGACUUAGUUUAUGUAAAUACAGGGAAGGGAAACCUGUGUUGCACAAUGUGUGACCCAAGGCUUUAGAGUAUAUGGAGUCCUUCCAUAGGACUGAACAAGAUCUGUUAAUUCAUUAUGUAUGAUAUAAGUCACCUCCUCUUCUUGCAUGGAUUAUAGAAUUGCAUUUUGGGGAGGGAGGCAAGAUGGCAGAAGAGUAGGGGACCUCAUUUUAUCUGGUCCCCAGAAUUUAGGUAGAUAACUAUCAAAUCAUUCUGAACACCUAUGAAUUCAAACUGAGAUGUAAGGAAAGAAUUACAGGAAUUCUACAAACCAAAAAGUGACUACUUUUUGAGAAGUAGGAUGUCUGGAGAAUCUGAGGGGAUAUCUCAGAAGAUAAUCAGUGGAGGGAGGGAGCCUCUGUAAACUGUCUACUAGAAAGUGAUAUAGCCCCAGAGCCCAAUAUUAGAACCUUUAUAAAUCUGCUCCAAUGAGAGACAUCUGUGCCUGAAAGGUGCUCAGGUUGGGAAGCAGGGCAGAAUCCUAGGUGUGACAGUAUGGUCUUAGAAUCUCCAGGGUCACAGAAAGAACAGGGGUGCAUGAGCAGACAGAGUUCCUAAGCAUUGGAAUGAAGAAAGAAGUGAGGGUCAGCAAACCCGGGAGAGGACCCUCAACUCAGUUCGCCAUAAACCAUGAACUGCAGCAUGAUCCGGUGACAGCACUCCUGCAGGCGUCCUGCAAAGGAGGGAAAAGUGGCAGCCCUGUGACUUCCUCCAGCAGGGAUGGCAUGGGAGUGUGCACAAUUGGGCAAUUCCUCAGAGUGUAGGGGUACUGAAAAGGACAGAAAACCUGUAGCCAUAUGCAUUCCCCAGGAAGGACAGCAUGGAGGAGUGCAUGACCAGGUGACCACUCUCUGUGUGGAGAUCCUACAAAGGACAGAAAUUCAGGGAGCUUUUGCAUUCUGCUAAUAUGAUCCGAGCAAGCACACACCACAGGAGUCUCUAGACUUUGGCACACACAAAAGUGAAGACUACUUAUCCCAGAGGGUUUAGUGAAGAGAGGGGACUGCCAUCUCUUGGCUCCAGGACUCAAAAUCAGGCAAGGCCUUACUUGUUUUCAUCCUCUAGCGAGACGCAGAACACCUUUGGGAAACAAAAGCCACACAGAGCAAUCAGUAACAGCUCAGCCCAAGUCCAGCCCCCUGACAAGGGGCUGUGCAAUUCUGCCCAGGCAAAGGCACCUGAGAUUCAGGGCAGCAGGCCCCUUCCCCAGAAGACCAGAUGAAACAACUGGGAACACCAAGUUUACAGAGCACACAGGACUGCAAAACUCUAGGACUAGGGGAAAAUAAUACAGAGAAUUUAAGGUGUUUUUUCUUUUUUUUGUGAUUUGUUUACCUUUCAUUUAAAAUUUUUCCUUUUCUUAUUUCUUUUAUUUCCUUUUCAAUUAGUUUCUUACUUUAUUGAUCCUUUGUUUUUGCCUUUUUUUUUUUAAAGGCAGACUGCCAUGUGCAGAGCCUCAUUUGGGUGUGUCUGGGGUGUUGGAAGCUUGACUACCCUAUGUUCUCCUACAAAUGGACCUUGAGAGCUUGUUGGAGGUUCUAGCAGGGGAGCGCAGCUACUUGUAUACCCUUGACACAAGAGCGGUCCUCUCCUCUAUUGGGAAAGGUCAUCCUCUUUGACUGCAUGCACAACUUUGGGAGGGAUGUACAUGGAGUGGUGAGGGAGAAAGGGGACACCCGCCUAGCCAGCCAGAUCAGCCGAAUCAACUCUGGCGAACAUUGGGGUGACAGAUGCUGUAGUCAGAUCGCCCUCACAUCUUUAAGUUUUUUUAAUGAACAUAUAAUGUAUUAUUUGUUUCAGGGGUACAGGCCUGUGAUUCACCAGUCUUAACACAAUUCACAUCAUUCACCAUAGCACAUACCCUCCCCAAUGUCCACCACCCAAUCAUCUUACCCCUCCCAGUGUCCACCACUCCAGGAACCCGCAGUUUUUUCCUGAGAUUAAAAGUCUUUUAUGGUUUGUCUCCCUCACUGGUUUCAUCCCAUUUUAUUUCAUUUUUUCCUCUCAUCCCCCAUGAUCCUCUGCCCUAUUUCUCAAAAUCCACACAUCAGCGAAAUAAUACAAUAGUUGUCUUUCUCAGGUUGACUUAUGUCUCUUAGCAUAAUACCCCCUAGUUCCAGCCAUGUCAUUGCAAAUGGCAAGAUUUCUUUUUUUUAUUGGCUGCAUAAUAUUCUAGUGUGUGUGUGUGUGUGUGUGUGUGUGUGUGUGUGUAGAUAUAUAGUUAGAUAGAUAGGUGAAUAUAGAUAUAGAUGAUAUAGAUAUAGAUAUAUCAAGCACAUCUUCUUUCCCCAUUCUUCUGUUGAUGGACAUCUAGGCCCUUCCCUAGUUUGGUAUUGUGGACAUUGCUGCUAUAAACAUCAGGGUGCAUGUGCCCCUUUGGGUAACUAUGUUUGUAUCUUUGGGAUAAAUACCCAGUAGUACGAUUGCUGGGUCAGAGUAACUCUUAUUUUCAACUUUUUGAGGAACCUCCAUACUGUUUGCCAGAGUGGCUGCAUCAGCUUGCAUUUCCACCAACAGUGCAAGAGGGUUCCCCAUUCUCUACGUCCUCGCCAACAUCUGUCGAUUCCUAAAUUGUUUGUUUUAGCCUUUUUUUUUUUUAACCAUUUUUGACUGGUAUGAAUUGGUAUCUCAUUGUGGUUUUGAAUUGUAUUUCCUUCAUGCCAAGAAAUGUUGGGAAUUUCUUCAUGUGUUUGUUGGCCAUUUGGAUGUCUUCUUUGUACUUCCUUCACCUCCUUGGUUAGGGUUUUUGCAAGGUAACUUGUGGAGAGCCAUUCAGCAGAUGCAAGGAGUCACGUAGACGGCAGUGCCUGUAGAUUGAGGAAAUGAGAAUGAUUGGUUUAGGAGGAUGUGGGUGCGCUCGUGGCUGACGCAUGAGCAGCACCAGGAGCCAAGAGAGAAACGCAUGAUCACCGCUAGAGAACAAUAGAGUCCUGUAUGGUUACAUAAGAGUGCCACGAGGACGCUGCGUGCACGGCAUUGUGAUUGGGCGAGAGGGGAGGGGUGAACGCGCGUGCAUAAAUAUCGCUGUGUGCUUGGUUUGCGCGCGGCCGCCAUUAUUAAAAAGAAGCUUGCCACUCACCUCGUCUGUGGGUCGUUCUUGUGGGCCGAGAGCGACAACUGGUGCCGAAACCCGGGAUCCCUACCUUUAGACGCAGAACGAGGAUCGAGGUAAGAGCAACGAUAAGGAUGCGCCUGCUCCACUCUGGGUGCCGGAAUGCCUCACCAGGCUGGUGGCCGUGGAACCUGUGGAGGAUGCUGGUGAUGAUGAUGAUAGCGACGACGACUGUCCUGCAGCCUGUUCCCAUGAAGGCGGAGCCAGUUCAACUGUGGCCAAGACAAGAGACUGCCCAGCUUCAGGCCCUUCUUCAAAUGGCUCAGCAUAGAGUGCAUUCUUCUCACCCGAACUCAUGUUUGCUACUGACGCUUAUUUUAAUGCAACAGGUGUUGGCAGCCCAGGGCUCAUUAUAUUGGGCAUACGUCCCCGAUCCACCCCUGUUACAGCCCGUGGGUUGGGAUGUGAGUUCUAUUCCUGUAUAUGUUAAUGAUACUGUCUUGCUAGGCCCUCCCUCUUCUGUUCAUCUCCGGCCACAGCAGGCUGCCAUAUCUUACAAGGGCUAUUCUGAUGUAUAUCCCAUAUGCUUUGCGAUGAAGCGCACAAUACCACACUGUUUAAGUGUUUCCCCGUGAUCUGGUUAUAGUGAUGUGAGUAUAGCUGGCGUGACGCAUGGUAUGUUGUAGGAACAAUUAUAGGAGUGCUAGUGGUAAUUGUUCUUUUCAUGUGCCUCUUGCCUUGUGCGGUUAAAAUUAUACUCGCAGAAGUUUAUAAGUUAAGAGCCAUCAUACGUAACCAUCAGCUAAUCAACCGCGGUGGGCUCAGAAUGUCACCUUGAACACCACCCAGGUAUCUCUUGGCUCCGUCAGUGAUUUGGUUAGUAUGUUAUAACAAUCAGCCUCAUUCCUCAAAAACUGGGCAGGCAUAGGAGCCCUGAUUAUGUUGAUGAUUCUGGCUCAAGUGCUCCUUCUACAAUGCAUCGCGUGACAACAACGGCUACAGCAACGGGCUUUGGUCUAAGCCAUGAUGGCUCUGGAGGCUGGCACCUCCCCCCCCAAAUAUGGCUUAGUAUGCUGGAUCGGUAGCCAAAGACGGGUAAGACUGAUCCCUCACCAUAGCAACCUAAGACAGGGGCUCCUCGGCCAGGGGGAGUACCCGAUGAUGGGUAAGCAUGUGUGCUGAGGAUUGGCAACCUAAGACAGGCACGAUCCCUGCCAUAUAAACAAUAAAAAAGGGGGAGCUGUGGAGAGCCAUUCAGCAGAUGCAAGGAGUCACGUAGACGGCAGUGCCUGUAGAUUGAGGAAAUGAGAAUGAUUGGUUUAGGAGGAUGUGGGUGCGCUCGUGGCUGACGCAUGAGCAGCACCAGGAGCCAAGAGAGAAACGCAUGAUCACCGCUAGAGAACAAUAGAGUCCUGUAUGGUUACAUAAGAGUGCCACGAGGACGCUGCGUGCGCGGCAUUGUGAUUGGGCGAGAGGGGAGGGGUGAACGCGCGUGCAUAAAUAUCGCUGUGUGCUUGGUUUGCGCGCGGCCGCCAUUAUUAAAAAGAAGCUUGCCACUCA